rnacentral:rRNA from 1 species
GACGAACGCUGGCGGCGUGCCUAAUACAUGCAAGUCGAACGCAGUUGCGAACGGGCGAGUAACGCGUAGGUAACUGCUUGGUAGCGGGGGAUAAUUAUUGGAAAAGAUAGCUAAUACUGCCUACUACCCGACGGACCUGCGUUGUAUUAGCUAGUUGGUGGGGUAAUGGCUCACCAAGCCAACGGUACAUAGCCGACCUGGGAGGGUGGUCGGCCACAAUGGGACUGAGACACGGCCCAGACUCCUACGGGAGGCAGCAGUAGGGAAUCUUCGGCAAUGGACGGAAGUCUGACCGAGCAACGCCGCGUGAGUGAAGAAGGUUUUCGGAUCGUAAAGCUCUGUUGUAAGAGAAGCGGUAUCUUACCAGAAAGGGACGGCUAACUACGUGCCAGCAGCCGCGGUAAUAC